UCCUCUAAAAUGUUCAUUAACAAAAAUUACAGUUACCAUCACUUUAAAGCAUAAUUAUUUGAGCUAUUUGCAUUAACCAGUUGUGAGCGUAUGAAGACAAAAACUGAAAUGUUCCACUUCUGUAAAGAUAAGUAUCAGUUUGAGGAAAGCAGCAAAAAGUAUUUUUGAUGAGUGAUAGUAGAUAAUUAUUUCUUAGGCAAAAUACUUGGUAUUGAAACACAGAAGUGAAAGAAAGCUCAUGCAUUUUAAUGUAGUUCUGACUUUUGCUAGAAGAACAAUGUAAUUACAACAGUCUUAAUUUACUACAAAUGAUAAGAAAUCUGCUGCAAGUCUGCAGAAGUUAUGUUGGUGUUAGUAGAUUGUAUCUGAGUAACUGAGUUUGCCUUUCCAUGGUUGUACCUUACUGAAAACCUAACAUGACAUUAAGACUCCUGUAUUGAGUCUUACUUCCUUGCUUAGCAAGCAUUAGGGAAUUUUGUAUGUAUAUGAAAAGCAUAUGCAGGCUAGAGAUCAAUGAAGUUACUUGGGAGUUAUAGUAAGCAUGUCAUUGACUCCAUCAUUUUUGUCAUGAUCAUUCUAAUUCCAGUUUACAUAAAAAUUCUCUUGUCUUUUAUCUGGCUUAAGAAUAAGGGAAGCACAUCUUCAGUUAAUCGUUUGGAAUUGAUCAGUUUUUCGUUAUAAGAGCAUAAUUUAUUCACAUUUCUGAGCAUAGAAUGUCUAUAUCUACAGCUUCUGUUAAUCAAGUCAUUUUUUUCAUUAGUGCACCUCCAUUACUUGGUAUCUAUAAGAAUAAGAAGGGGGAAAUAGGCUUGAACUUUCCUUAAGUGAUAUACAGAUAUACUUUACUGAUCUAUCAGGGUCAGUGCAUGGGAAUUAACUGUAUGUCCAGAUAGUAUGAAUUUUCUAUUAAAAAGAAUGGAAUUUUUUCUUAAGGAAAUUAGUGACAGGACAAUAGAUAAUAACCUUAUUAAGUGCUACACUGGAGUAAUUUUUUUCAAAUCAGUUGAUUCUAGUGUAUAAUGUUCGAAGUAUGUUAUAUACGUAAUAUACCAAGUAAGUUGAGGUAAUAUUUUUACAAGAAGGCAAGAGAUAAAGUUUUCUAGGUAAUCUUAAAAUCCUAGUGUACUAGCAAACUACAGUUUUUGCUAGUAAAUGCAAUUGGUUUUAUCAUUGCUUUUCACUUUAUCAUAAGUUUUUAAAUGUUUAAAUUGAAUGCUGCCAUAGUUGGCAGACCAAGUUUGGAUGUUUGCCAUCGAUUUGGCAUAGGUGAAGGGUAAAAAAA